UACGAAGGGUGCAAACGUUGCUCGGAAUUAUUGGGCGUAAAGCGCACGUAGGCGGCUUGGUAAGUUGGAUGUGAAAUCCCUCGGCUUAACCAAGGAAGUGCAUCCAAAACUACUGAGCUUGAGUACUAAAGAGGAUCGCGGAAUUCCCGGUGUAGAGGUGAAAUUCGUAGAUAUCGGGAGGAACACCAGUGGCGAAGGCGGCGAUCUGGGUAGAUACUGACGCUGAGGUGCGAAAGCGUGGGAGCAAACAGG
rnacentral:rRNA from 1 species